AUUGAACGCUGGCGACAGGCUUAACACAUGCAAGUCGAGCGGAGAUGAGGUGCUUGCACCUUAUCUUAGCGGCGGACGGGUGAGUAAUGCUUAGGAAUCUGCCUAUUAGUGGGGGACAACAUUCCGAAAGGAAUGCUAAUACCGCAUACGUCCUACGGGAGAAAGCAGGGGAUCUUCGGACCUUGCGCUAAUAGAUGAGCCUAAGUCGGAUUAGCUAGUUGGUGGGGUAAAGGUCUACCAAGGCGACGAUCUGUAGCGGGUCUGAGAGGAUGAUCCGCCACACUGGGACUGGGAAACGGCCCAGACUCCUACGGGAGGCAGCAGUGGGGAAUAUUGGACAAUGGGGGGAACCCUGAUCCAGCCAUGCCGCGUGUGUGAAGAAGGCCUUAUGGUUGUAAAGCACUUUAAGCGAGGAGGAGGCUACUGAGACUAAUACUCUUGGAUAGUGGACGUUACUCGCAGAAUAAGCACCGGCUAACUCUGUGCCAGCAGCCGCGGUAAAAC
rnacentral:rRNA from 1 species